AUGAAGGCCAGGCUGAAGACUUUGCCGGAUUAGCUGAGAGGUGGUGCAUGGCCGUCGUCAGUUCGUACUGUGAAGCAUCCUGUUAAGUCAGGCAACGAGCGAGACCCACGCCCACAGUUGCCAGCGUACUCUCUGGAGUGACGGGUACACUGUGGGACCGCCGCUGCUAAAGCGGAGGAAGGAAUGGGCAACGGUAGGUCAGUAUGCCCCGAAUAUCCCGGGCUACACGCGAGCUACAAUGGUUGGUACAAUGGGUAUCUACCCCGAAAGGGGACGGAAAUCUCCUAAAACCAAUCUUAGUUCGGAUUGAGGGCUGCAACUCGCCCUCAUGAAGCUGGAAUCCGUAGUAAUCGCGUUUCAACAGAACGCGGUGAAUACGUCCCUGCUCCUU
rnacentral:rRNA from 1 species